rnacentral:rRNA from 1 species
UACGUAGGGUGCAAGCGUUAAUCGGAAUUACUGGGCGUAAAGCGUGCGCAGGCGGUUAUGUAAGACAGUUGUGAAAUCCCCGGGCUCAACCUGGGAACUGCAUCUGUGACUGCAUAGCUAGAGUACGGGUAGAGGGGGAUGGAAUUCCGCGUGUAGCAGUGAAAUGCGUAGAUAUGCGGAGGAACACCGAUGGCGAAGGCAAUCCCCUGGACCUGUACUGACGCUCAUGCACGAAAAGCGUGGGGAGCAAACAGG